UAUGACAUCUGAUAUGUACCUCUUUUGCAAAAAAAACAAAAUGGAUAAAAAAAGAGUGAAAACAAAAUAGUUUAAGAAAGCAAAGUGACAGUUCUUCUGAUAACUGCUUAAAAUAAAGGAAGUAAGACCAUGAAGAAUCAUACUGAUGAGCUGUUCUGCGUUGAAUUUUUAAAAAACGGCUAUUUUCAUAGCCACAA